rnacentral:rRNA from 1 species
CGUGUAGGCGGAGAUGCAAGUCAGAAGUGAAAUCCCGGGGCUCAACCCCGGAACUGCUUUUGAAACUGUAUCCCUUGAGUGUCGGAGAGGCAAGCGGAAUUCCUAGUGUAGCGGUGAAAUGCGUAGAUAUUAGGAGGAACACCAGUGGCGAAGGCGGCUUGCUGGACGAUAACUGACGCUGAGGCGCGAAAGCGUGGGGAGCAAACA